GCAUAUCAAUAAGCGGAGGAAAAGAAACCAACAGGGAUUGCCCUAGUAACGGCGAGUGAAGCGGCAACAGCUCAAAUUUGAAAUCUGGCCUCGGCCCGAGUUGUAAUUUGCAGAGGAAGCUUUAGGCGCGGCACCAUCUGAGUCCCCUGGAACGGGGCGCCAUAGAGGGUGAGAGCCCCGUAUAGAUGGACGCCUAGCCUGUGUAAAGCUCCUUCGACGAGUCGAGUAGUUUGGGAAUGCUGCUCAAAAUGGGAGGUAAAUUUCUUCUAAAGCUAAAUACCGGCCAGAGACCGAUAGCGCACAAGUAGAGUGAUCGAAAGAUGAAAAGCACUUUGAAAAGAGGGUUAAAUAGCACGUGAAAUUGUUGAAAGGGAAGCGCUUGUGACCAGACUUGCGCCGGGCGGAUCAUCCGGUGUUCUCACCGGUGCACUCCGCCCGGCUCAGGCCAGCAUCGGUUCUCGCGGGGGGAUAAAGGCCCUGGGAACGUAGCUCCUCCGGGAGUGUUAUAGCCCAGGGCGCAAUGCCCUCGCGGGGACCGAGGUUCGCGCAUCUGCAAGGAUG
rnacentral:rRNA from 1 species